rnacentral:rRNA from 1 species
UACGUAGGGUGCAAGCGUUAAUCGGAAUUACUGGGCGUAAAGCGUGCGCAGGCGGUUAUGUAAGACAGUUGUGAAAUCCCCGGGCUCAACCUGGGAAUUGCAUCUGUGACUGCAUAGCUAGAGUACGGUAGAGGGGGAUGGAAUUCCGCGUGUAGCAGUGAAAUGCGUAGAUAUGCGGAGGAACACCGAUGGCGAAGGCAAUCCCCUGGACCUGUACUGACGCUCAUGCACGAAAAGGCGUGGGGAGCAAACAGG